rnacentral:rRNA from 1 species
CGAAUGCUGACAUAAGUAACGAUAAAGCGGGUGAAAAGCCCGCUCGCCGGAAGACCAAGGGUUCCUGUCCAACGUUAAUCGGGGCAGGGUGAGUCGACCCCUAAGGCGAGGCCGAAAGGCGUAGUCGAUGGGAAACAGGUUAAUAUUCCUGUACUUGGUGUUACUGCGAAGGGGGGACGGAGAAGGCUAUGUUGGCCGGGCGACGGUUGUCCCGGUUUAAGCGUGUAGGCUGGUUUUCCAGGCAAAUCCGGAAAAUCAAGGCUGAGGCGUGAUGACGAGGCACUACGGUGCUGAAGCAACAA